rnacentral:rRNA from 1 species
CCUACGGGCGGCAGCAGUGAGGAAUAUUGGUCAAUGGGCGCGAGCCUGAACCAGCCAAGUCGCGUGAGGGAAGACGGUCCUAUGGAUUGUAAACCUCUUUUGUCGGGGAGCAAAAGACGCCACGCGUGGCGUUCCGAGAGUACCCGAAGAAAAAGCAUCGGCUAACUCCGUGCCAGCAGCCGCGGUAAUACGGAGGAUGCGAGCGUUAUCCGGAUUUAUUGGGUUUAAAGGGUGCGCAGGCGGAAGAUCAAGUCAGCGGUAAAAUUGGGAGGCUCAACCUCUUCGAGCCGUUGAAACUGGGUGUCUUGAGUGAGUGAGAAGUAUGCGGAAUGCGUGGUGUAGCGGUGAAAUGCAUAGAUAUCACGCAGAACUCCGAUUGCGAAGGCAGCAUACCGGCGCUCAACUGACGCUCAUGCACGAAAGUGUGGGGAUCGAACAGGAUUAGAUACCCGAGUAGUC